GGGCUGCAGUAUAUUGACUGUACAAAGGUAGCAUAAUCAUUAGUCAUUUAAUUGAUGACUUGUAUGAAGGAUUUGAUGAAAUAUAAACUGUCUCUUAUUUAAUUAUAAAAUUUAAUUUUUUUAUUAAAAAGUUAAAAUAUUUUAAAAAGACGAGAAGACCCUAUAGAGUUUAAUAAAUUAUUAGAUUGAGAUUAUAUAUAAAUAAAUUUAAAAUUAAAUUAUUUAUUUUGUUGGGGUGACAAAAAAAUACAUUAAACUUUUUUUUUAUUUAAAACAUUUAUAAGUGAUUAAGUGAUCCAAUAAUAUUGAUUAUGAGAAAAAAUUACCUUAGGGAUAACAGCGUAAUUUUUUUUUUUAGUUCAAAUAAGAAAAAGAGUUUGCGACCUCGAUGUUGGAUUAAGAUAAAAUUUAAA
rnacentral:rRNA from 1 species